CCUCCCCACUCUCUCCUCUCCUCGCGCGCGCCCUGCCCCGCCCCACCCCGCCCGAAUCGAUCCCAAAACCUAGCUUUGAGAUACGGGUAGGGCUUCGACCCCGCUCCCCCGUCCAUCUCCCCAAGGAGUCCAACGUUCGCCGGCCCCGGCGCCGGUCUGGAGGAGUGGAGAAGGUGGAGGCGUUUGUAACGGGGCGUGAGGCCAAGUGGAGGCGUGACAGAUUCGAUUUGUCUGCCCGUGUCGAUGCCCUGCCCGAAUUUAUGGAUGCCGAAGAGCCGACCGUGCCACCCCGAGAAGGGGGAGGAAGACCAGGAGGAGGCGAGGAGGCCUUCACCUGUCUCUGCUGCGGCCCCUCGUGGGUCCCCUCCAUGGCCUGGCGGUUGUCCCUGAAGCGGAAGCUGGACGAGAGGGACGCAGAGGCCCGCUGCCUGUCGUGCGCUGGCGUCGGCGUGGCCCGGGUGGAGACCGAAAUCGAGGCGAUGGCCCUCCGCGAGGCCCUAGUCAACCACCAGCAGUCGGUCCAGAAGCUUCAGGCGGAGCUGGAGGAGGAGCGGAGCGCUGCGGCGUCCGCCGCCACGGAGGCCAUGUUGAUGAUCCUACGGCUCCAGCACGAGAAGGCCGAGGCCCAGAUGGAGGCCCGCCAAUUCAAGCGCCUCGCCGAGGGCAAGAUGGCCCACGACCAACACGAGAUUGCCGCCCUCGAGGAUCUCCUCUACAAGCGCGACCAGACCGUGCAAUCCCUCUCCUACGAGGUCCGGACGUACCGCCACCGCCUUCUCAGCUACGGCAUCGGCAUCGACGGUGGGGUACCUAGCUCUGAGCCACAGACCCCAGACACGGACACGGCCACGGCCGCCUGUUCGGUCCCGCAGUUCGACCUCCUCCAUCAUGGCUAUCCCCCAUCGAGGUGCAACGGGGAUGAUGCCGCCAACCUGGAUAAGUACCGUUCUGGCCCGGAGGUCAUCAAGGGGGAGGAGUUCUCAGCAACCAUGGACUGUGCUUCAAACAGUGGCGGAAGGCAUGAUAUGAGCGACGAAGUGUAUACGGUGGCUGCGGUGCAUGGGGCGAGCGAGGAGUAUGUCAGCACACCAAGGGAGCUCCGAAACAGAAGGGACAUGGCGGGCAGGGUUGAGGAAGCAGAGAUAAGGAAGCUUUAUACGAGGUUGCAGGCGCUUGAUGCCGAUAGAGAGUCCAUGAGGCAGACAUUAAUUUCUUUGGGCACGGAUAUGGCUCAGAUGGUGUUCUUGAAACAGAUUGCUCAACAAAUGUAUAAGGAAGUGGCACCAGAGAGGAAAAUAGUCAAGAAACCAUUAUCUUUCAAGGGGUCCUCUCUCAUAUCAACGAUUAAGAGUGUCAUCUCAUUCUUCUGGAGAAAGAAAUCAGCUCGAGUCAAGUACACUUUUGGCUUAUCUCCCACCAACGUUGGCUUAUUGCUGCUCUUGGACAAGUCUUCCCGAAUGAGGCAACUGAGGUCUCUCACAAGAACACAGAGAGUUUCCAUCAACUGGCUUGAACUGGAAAUGUUGUGUACCCGUUCAUAUCAGACAAUGGAGUCCACAAGUUCCAAAUCUGAAGAAUCCAUCCAUGAUUGCUUGUGGAGAUUUGCUUGUCGGACUCUUCACUCACUGAUCUAUCAGUCUUGAAGGAACUGAAAGCAACUGGUUGAUGGCCACACUCUCCAUUUCAGGCUCUCAUAUUUCUCAACUCUCUCAGCUGGAGUAGCACCAGCAUUGCACCACCAAGGCCCUGGAGAUGAGGUAGAACAUGUCCUCUGCCCUUUCUCUUUUGUGUUUGAUGUGGAGCUUGUGACUGCCACAAGAGCCUCAAACCUUAAUCCCCUCUUGCUCUCAUCAUGCCCAUUAACUCCUUUCCCUUUCAGUGUCUUUUUGGGGAAAGAUCCUACAGUGUGCUUGUUGAAGCUGCAAAUUAGAUUCUCAAGAUCAUGCGGCAAUAGUAUGUGUUUUCCCU